rnacentral:tRNA from 1 species
GGCUGGAUAGCUCAAUGGUAGAGCAGUUGACUUUUAAUCAAUUGGUUCCGGGUUCGAGUCCCGGUCCAGCCACCA